CCUAAUACAUGCAAGUAGAACGCUGAGAACUGGUGCUUGCACCGGUUCAAGGAGUUGCGAACGGGUGAGUAACGCGUAGGUAACCUACCUCAUAGCGGGGGAUAACUAUUGGAAACGAUAGCUAAUACCGCAUAAGAGAGACUAACGCAUGUUAGUAAUUUAAAAGGGGCAAUUGCUCCACUAUGAGAUGGACCUGCGUUGUAUUAGCUAGUUGGUGAGGUAAAGGCUCACCAAGGCGACGAUACAUAGCCGACCUGAGAGGGUGAUCGGCCACACUGGGACUGAGACACGGCCCAGACUCCUACGGGAGGCAGCAGUAGGGAAUCUUCGGCAAUGGGGGCAACCCUGACCGAGCAACGCCGCGUGAGUGAAGAAGGUUUUCGGAUCGUAAAGCUCUGUUGUUAGAGAAGAAUGAUGGUGGGAGUGGAAAAUCCACCAAGUGACGGUAACUAACCAGAAAGGGACGGCUAACUACGUGCCAGCAGCCGCGGUAAUACGUAGGUCCCGAGCGUUGUCCGGAUUUAUUGGGCGUAAAGCGAGCGCAGGCGGUUUUUUAAGUCUGAAGUUAAAGGCAUUGGCUCAACCAAUGUACGCUUUGGAAACUGGAGAACUUGAGUGCAGAAGGGGAGAGUGGAAUUCCAUGUGUAGCGGUGAAAUGCGUAGAUAUAUGGAGGAACACCGGUGGCGAAAGCGGCUCUCUGG
rnacentral:rRNA from 1 species